rnacentral:rRNA from 1 species
AAGGAUCAUUAUCGUACUACAGAGGUGCUCAGGUUGUCGCUGACCUUUUGGUCGUGCACGCCCGAGUGCUCUCAAUCCAUUUCACCCUUUGUGCAUCACCGCGCGGGGUCUCUUCCUCUUGGCUUGCUUCGAGAGGGGGAGGCUCGCGUUUUUCAUACAAACACCCUUCUAGUUUAGAAUGUCAUUCAUUUGCGAUCAUACGCAAUCAAUACAACUUUCAACAACGGAUCUCUUGGCUCUCGCAUCGAUGAAGAACGCAGCGAAAUGCGAUACGUAAUGUGAAUUGCAGAAUUCAGUGAAUCAUCGAAUCUUUGAACGCACCUUGCGCCCCUUGGUAUUCCGAGGGGCACACCCGUUUGAGUGUCGUGAAAUUCUCAAACCUUCUUGGUUUCUUGAUCAAGAUGGCUUUGGACUUUGGAGGCAUUUGCUGGCUUUGCGAAAAGCCAGCUCCUCUUGAAUGCAUUAGUGGGGUCCCCUUUGCCGAUCCCCAGGCGUGAUAAGAUGUUUCUACGUCUUGGGAUUUGCUCUGUUCCUUGGGAACCCGCUUCUAACCGUCUCAUGGAAGACAUCGUUCGAGCUUGCUCGACCCACGAACCUUGA